rnacentral:lncRNA from 1 species
AGGAUUUGAAACCAUUUGAUCAAGCAAAAAGACAUUGGCUGGGGAAGCGGAGAGAAUAAGAAGACCAGGAACGAAGUAGCUCAAAUAGAAUUUGAGGAACAAAGUUGAUUGAGGCUUCAUAUUUCUUUUCAAGAAUAAAUAUGAGAACAACAAAUUUGAGGAUAGAACAAAUCAAAGGAAAAAUAACUUCAGAAUUCAUAAAUUAGAUUGAAUAAAGGAAAGAACACUUGUUUUUUGGAGUUUGUACUGGUAUUUUUAUAAUUGACUUUCAAUUUAGCCAUUAUCAUUAUUAUCAUUAAACAAAAACACAAGUUGUAAAAAAAUCAAAAUUUGUGAUUGUAGGAAAGAACACUUAGCUUCAACUAUGUUCACUAAACCUGUGAUUGAUUUAAUGAAAGGAAUUUACAAACUAGUUCUUGAGGAAUCCAUCUCUAACGACUGUUUGGGCUCUCCUCCCAGCCACCCCAUCGCUUUAAGUGUCGAACUCAUCGUUGUUGGCUUCCCUAACUAAGAAGUUGGGCCUUGUAUGCAUUUAUGGAGACUUUGAGAUGAGGUUUUCAUGUUGCAAUUAUGGUUGAUUUAGGUGUUGGUAGAUAGAUAUUUGAGAUGAGGCAUUGGACUUUAAGAUGAAAGAUGAUGGUGUGACAAUCAAGCUCAAAAAGUAAGUGGCCUAUGAGAGAAGAGAUGGGUUCGAGGGCGAAUAAAGGGGAUAGUUG